rnacentral:misc_RNA from 1 species
CCAGUGUAUAUUGGAGCACAGGUCAUGGCCUCAGUGAGUGCAGCAUUUGCUUUGAAAGGGAUAUUUCACCCAAUAAUGGGUGGAGGAGUAACAGUUCCUUCAGGAGGAUACGGUCAAGCUUUUGCUUUGGAAUUCAUUAUUAGCUUUAAUCUCAUGUUUGUUGUCACUGCCGUGGCCACCGACACUAGAGCUGUGGGAGAGUUGGCGGGAAUCGCGGUGGGGGCCACCGUCAUGCUCAACAUACUCAUCGCCGG